rnacentral:rRNA from 1 species
CAAUAGCGUAUAUUAAAGUUGUUGCAGUUAAAAAGCUCGUAGUUGAACUUCUGUCUGCGGCUUCAGCAGGCUUCGGUCGCUGAAGUCACGGUCAUCCGCUUGGGAACUACGUUCGGGCUUAAUUGUUCGGCGUAAGGAACAGGCAUUUUACUUUGAAAAAAUUAGAGUGUUCAAGGCAGGCUAUCGCCCUGAAUACACAAGCAUGGAAUAAUGAAAUAGGACUACUUCCAUUUUAUUGGUUAUUGGAAAUAGUAAUGAUUAAUAGGGACAGUUGGGGCAUUAGUAUUUAAUUGUCAGAGGUGAAAUUCUUGGAUUUAUUAAAGACUAACUUAUGCGAAAGCAUUUGCCAAGGAUGUUUUCAUUAA